rnacentral:rRNA from 1 species
AUUGAACGCUGGCGGCAUGCUUUACACAUGCAAGUCGGACGAGUGGCGAACGGGUGAGUAACGCAUCGGAACGUACCGAGUAAUGGGGGAUAACUGUCCGAAAGGACAGCUAAUACCGCAUAUUAUCCGAGCGGCCCAUGUGUGAUUAGCUGGUGGGCGGGGUAAAGGCCCACCAAGGCGACGAUCAGUAGCGGGUCUGAGAGGAUGAUACGCAAAACUGGGACUGAGACACGGCCCAGACUCCUACGGGAGGCAGCAGUGGGGAAUUUUGGACAAUGGGCGCAAGCCUGAUCCAGCCAUGCCGCGUGUCUGAAGAAGGCCUUCGGGUUGUAAAGUGCUUUCGGUGGCGAGGCGUUAACUACAGAAGAAGCACCGGCUAACUCCGUGCCAGCAGCCGCGGUAAUAC